rnacentral:rRNA from 1 species
UACGGAGGAUGCAAGCGUUAUCCGGAUUUAUUGGGUUUAAAGGGUACGUAGGCGGAAAAUUAAGUCAGUAGUGAAAUCCUGCAGCUUAACUGUAGAACUGUUAUUGAUACUGGUUUUCUUGAAUAUAGUUGAGGUAGGCGGAAUGUGUAAUGUAGCGGUGAAAUGCUUAGAUAUUACACAGAACACCGAUUGCGAAGGCAGCUUACUAAGCUAUGAUUGACGCUGAGGUACGAAAGCGUGGGGAGCGAACAGGAUUAGAUACCCCCGUA